ACACAAAAGCAAAUUCAUGAUUUUUUUUAGCUAGGCGCGAUUCGCGCGAAGUAGUCUUCGUUAUUCAACAAAUUUCUUUAUAAAUCUAGUGAUUAAAUAAUGGCAGAAAAGUCAAAGGAAUCUUUGACAGAUUCCUCUGAUGAGGGCUCUGAUCAAGAACCUUCAUAUAUAUUCUACCGUGAUAGACAAGAAUGGAGUGAUGUUGUGCCCGUCGAGUUACAUGAAGGACCUUUUCCGGUCGUCGCUAUUGCAUAUUCCGACCGAUUCAAAGACAUAUUUAACUAUUUCCGAGCGAUUGUGUUGAAAAAUGAGAUCUCAGAGAGAGCAUUUCAGUUGACAAGUGAUGCACUUGAACUGAAUCCUGCUAAUUAUACAGUUUGGCAAUAUAGACGAACUGUAUUAAAAGGACUUGAAAAGAGUAUUCCAAAAGAACUAACAUUUGUAAGAACAAUUAUAGAAGAUCACCCCAAGAACUACCAAGUUUGGCAUCAUCGUAGAGUACUGGUAGAGUGGUCAGGUGAUCCAUCUAGUGAACUUCGUCUUACCGAAAUAGUGCUAGCUCAAGAUGCCAAAAAUUAUCAUGCAUGGCAACACAGACAAUGGGUGCUUGAUACAUUCAAACUCUUUGAUCAUGAAUUGGAGUUUGUAGAGCGCUUAUUAGAAGAUGAUAUUCGAAACAAUUCAGCAUGGAAUCAACGGUAUUUUGUUGUAAAGCAAACGACAGGCUUUACUGAAGAUAUAAUCAACCGGGAGCUGACAUUUGCUGUCAACAGUAUAAAGAUAGUAUGCAAUAAUGAAAGCGCAUGGAACUACUUACGCGGUAUUUUAUCGCAUUGUCCAACUGGACUGAAUGGUCAUCCAAUAGUCGAAGAGCUUUGCCAGUUUCUGGACGAGAACAAAAGUGAAGCGCCAUUUUAUUUUGCGUUUUUGGUCGAUAGAAUGGAAGAAAUGAUGCAGUCUGAUCCUUCGAAACGCGAAGUCCUAUUACCCAAAGCAGAUGAAGUGCUCCAGUUACUUGCAACAAAAAUGGAUCCCAUUCGCCGUGAAUACUGGCUUUUUCUGUCACGCUAUUUCAAUUCACAGUUUGCCAUUUGAUAACGUAUCUCGUCAAUUAAAAUACACCUUUUUUAAAUGAAUUUUAGUAUUCAGAACCGAUUGACUUAGCCGGUGUAUUUGGCCAUGUUGUAAUACUAUAAAACGAGCAUUUUCAAACAAGAGAGAGAGAAAAAAAAGGAAAAACAGUUAUGGACAUAGGUGACCAAAUAAGGAUCAUUUCGAUUUUUUCAUCAUUGAAAUAUUUGUGGAAGAACUCUGAAAUUUGUAAAAAUGUAAAGUUAAGUGAGAGCAAAUUUGGCUUUCAGUAAAUGGCGAAACGCGACACAUUUUGUGAUGAUUUGGUAAGACAACCCGUCACUGAUCUUUAAUUUUAAUGUUUAGACUUGAUGGACUCUUUCUUUUGCUUGAUCGAAGGACUGCCACCUUUUGUUCGUUUCCACUUCAUCCGCCGAUUUUGGAACCAUACUUUAACCUAAAUUUUAUCAAAUGAUUUAAGGUUUAGUUAUUCAUGUUUCUUCUUAUUAUUGAAACUGUAUCGAAUGUGCUUAUCAUUUUCACUUGCCUGCCUUUCCGUAAGAUCAAGAGCAACCGCAAUUUCGUAACGACGUAGUCGCGUCAAGUAAUUUGAGUGGGCGAAUUCGUUUUCUAGCUCACGUAUCUGCUGUUUGGUAAAAGCAGUUCGUUCCUUCCUUGGUUUAUUUGAGAUUGUGUCCCCACUGCUAGAUUCCUCUGCAAAAAUAAUUAUGUUGUGUUUUUAUUCUUGCUUGUUUGUAUUUGAAAUUCACACUAAAAUUUACCGUCAUCUUCUGAGCUGCCGGCUCCCGCCAGAUCAAGAGAGAAGUCUUCAUCUAGGUUAAAAUCAUCAAUAGCAGAGGAGAUGGAAGAUGACGUGAUUGGGGGCACUUCGUCGUGGAAAACCUGUGUCCCUGGGAACGGCUGUUGUUGGUAGUGGUCUUGAUGUCCAAGGAAAGUCUGAUUAGGUGGAGAGAAUGCUGGAAGUGACAUGGGCGAUUCACAAGACGACGGCAAUGAAUAGGGUCGAACUCCUGGUCCACCGGAGUCAUCCUGAGGCUGUUGCAAUGUAGACGUCAAACUUUGAUAGCAAGGUAAGACGAAAUGUUGGUCCCGGAUCCGUGGCGCUACCGUAGCUGUUGUGAGAUUGGCGAGACUGCGAAGGAGAGUAAUAAAGACUCAUUUCAAAUGGAACUUUUUAGCUCGGUACUGACAAAAGGAGUUUUGUAGUCGUCAGGAGUUGGACGACUUGCAACGACAAUUCCAGUCCACAGUCAGAUACCGACUGUUAAAAGAACUCCCUAGACAAGUCGACGUCUUCACUGCCUAAAUCUUAGCUUGAUGCAGUUCUGGCAAGGCGAGAAGAUUGAAGGCGGAGACUUGCGUUCUUUCGGUGCGAGCCGAUUGGUUGUGUUGCUUCACUCCCUUCGCCUUCCAGUUGGCGUUUUUCCUUCCCAAAUCCUGUUGCGGCACCUUUCUUUUAUUUGCUCAGCUGUCCACGCCGCUUCGUCCAAUUCAUCAAUCUUAAUCCAAUUUGAAGUCCCAUAUUUCACUGGCAUAUGAUUUGACAACACUGAUCUCUUACCAUUGCAUUUAAAUUGUGCGAGUACAAUUCACAUUGCCGCAAUAUUCAAAGUUCACCCUAAAAAUUGACUUUGUAACCCAAACAGUUAUAAAGUUAAAAUUUGAUCCUUGCAAGACUAGACCAUAAAGCCCAAAGGAAAAUGGAGCGUUCUGCUUACUGCAUAGAAUAGUAUACAAUUUGACUUUUACAACAGUGCAGCUUCAAAAUUAAAGGAGGGAUACAUUCCAUGGAGGCGCCAGGCUGUCUGCCAGGACCAAGGACCCCCGGAGUUUAGGGUCUACUACCCCCCUUUCUUUUAGGCUAUCCGUUUUCCCGUCACAGUGAAAUUUCUUUUCCAAGCAGAACAACUCGCCAGGAAGAAUUCAGUUUAUAACUGAUGGUUUGUUAUUGAGUUGCAGUUGUGACUUUUUCCAUCUAACAACAACCGGAAUAGUCUACUUCAUUAAAAUGGUGUUCUUCAAUAGUUAAGUUGUAAUCAGUUUAGCAGUAAGCUUAUUUAUGUAUAAUUAUUUUUCAAAUCAGCCUCUUGAGCAAUCGAUUCAAGACUUGAAAGCGGCGCAAAUUUGUAUUCUAAAUUAAAUGUUCUCUUUUGACCGUAGAUACACUUUUUGCACUGGACAGAUCGCAAUAGGUGGGAAGAGAAAAAGGGCAAAAGUCGUUUCAUCGUGUCCAACGCCUUCUCCGGUUCGGGUAUCAAUUUACGUUGACAGCCCCCCAUCCUUUUUUUUUUUUGUUUUACUAUUUCCCACCUCCAAAGACCCCCCUCUCUACACAUCGACCUCUCUGUCUCACCCUCGGCGCCAAGCAGUCUGGCAGGUUCACAGUAAAAAUCCCCAUUUCCUUCUCUUUAUUUUAUGUGUAUUUUACUACGUUACUGGGGCUUGCCGAUGGUCCAGUUGUGAAGCUCUAAUGAAUGGGCGAAGCCUGCUCACACUUGAGCCGUAACUAAAUAGCUUUGCCUUUUCGAUACAGAGAGUAGCAGUGAAGAUGGCAGGUUUCACAUUUCGCACCCCAUUAACCGACAGGAAGUUCAUUCCUUUUUUUUUCCAAGUCUCAGGAAAUCGCUGGAUGCUGGAGUUAUGGAAAUUCAACGUAAAAUCGUGUUAACAGUGAACACACUUUUUUUCAUACGGUCUUAUUCGGGAAACCUGUUUUCGCAAGUGAUGGACGGGCCGUUUCUACUUCCGCCGCUCCAGGAGGCCCUUCUACUCCCACAGUAACGCGAGUCUGUAAAGAGUCUUUGGAUCGAUACACACUAGCUGCAAUUUCCAAUUUCUCAAUAGUAUUUACAAAUUGGAAAAUUUCCAGUAGUAAAAAAUUAUUCAUAGAGAGGUAACGUUGACUAAGAUCGAAAUUCUAAAUACCUUGCACUUUCAGUAAGUCGGUCAGUAGCGAACAGAAAGAAGUAAUAUGAAGUACUUCUUUUAUCUAAUCUAAUCCUUUCAGAUUUGUCCGCGUUAAAUUUUCAGAUUUUUUGUUACCCAAUCAUGCUUCAUUUUCUUUAACAUUUUUUUUUUUUUCAGAAUAUUGGAGCUCUUUAGAAUUCAAAUGUAGGUGUGUACCGUCCAUUAGGAGGCCGUCAUUUUUACUCUCCAGAAAUUAUGAAUGAUUAGCUGUUACAAAUUUUUUCGCCCAUCUAGAACUCGACUGGCCCUGCCCAAUAUUCUUGGAUCUUGUGUUUGUGAGUAUAAAGAUAUAUCCAUUCGAAGAAUUAGAUUAUUUGGUCAACGCCCGCACAUCGUUAAGCAUUAAACUGCGCUCCAGCUCAGAUGCUGUGAAUCAUAGUUAGCAUAAAACAUCCGAAUGUGAAAAGCUUAGUACGCUCGUGUUGGUUAUCAGUUUUUUUUUAUUCGGGUAGCCAUUCAUUACGGAUGAACGUUUUAAAGCCCCCCUUUUUUUAAAUUUCAAUUUACAGUGGAAUAAAAUCUUUUUGCCGUAACUUUAAAAGAAAAAUAAUAGAAAAAUUUAUCGUUUGAGACUUGAUUUAUUGAUCUACGUUAGAGCUCUUGUUGAUUUAACUUAUCCGUAGCGGCGUGAGGUUUGGGGGGCACUAGAGUAUGGCUAGGUUGUGUUGAUACAGUCAACGAUGACGAUCCCCAUUAAGAAAGAUGGUCAAUAAUGUAGUUGAUGUCUGCAGUCAGAAAUCACCGAAAGGCAAAACAACCACAAGGGCAUCAGUAGAGAAGAGAAACAUAGGGAGCAGGAUAUGCGGCGUCCAGAACGAUGGCAAUUUUGAUGAGUUUUGCAGGACCACGGACUUCUUUUUGCCUCCUUGUUUCUCAUAGUAGUAAGGGCUUGGAAUGAAGAAGCACCACCUGGCAGAGCCAUCAAGAAUAUUUGAAAGGAGCGCCCACAUUGGGGUUUGAGAACGGCUAAGCAAAACAUUAGACUCAAUCCAGAAGCUCAGUAAGCCAAACAGUGAUUUUUCACUCCCGCUCCUUUUCCUUUCCCCCACAUUGGACCAUCACCAUCGUUGGCCCAUCGACACUCAACACAAUAAAACAACAAACAAAAUACCGUACUAAGGACUUCUGUAGUCUAGGCUAAUCACGAAACGCGAUCGUGUAACAUUGCAGUUUUCGCUAACUAAAGAGAGUAACCUUUUUGUGAGUUUUGUCACGAUAAGAACCUUCUCAUCUUACCACUUUCACAUUAUACUGUGAGAAAGUUUGUCUCUCGGACAAAUUAGUCGAAUUUCAACACGCAUACCGAGUAAUGCUCACACGAGAAAAUGCCCACCCCUCUGAUCAUUAACGUUCUUUUCCCAGAUAGUUUUAUUCCUCACUUCACUUUUCUCCUUCAACUUGUUGUCGACUACGUAUCAUCUCUCACAUGUCAGAAAAUAUGUUUCUUAACGAGCGUGGGGAUUUUUUGUUGACAAUUUCCUACCAGAAUAAAAUGAGUCAAUUUACUUUA